CUUGCCCCGAGAUGAGUUCUCCCUGACCCUUUAAGGGUCCUGAAGGAACGUUGAAGACGACGACGUUGAUAGGCCGGGUGUGUAAGCGCAGCGAUGCGUUGAGCUAACCGGUACUAAUGAACCGUGAGGCUUAACCUUACAACGCCGAAGGUGUUU
rnacentral:rRNA from 1 species